AAGUCGUAACAAGGUUUCCGUAGGUGAACCUGCGGAAGGAUCAUUAACACGUAUCCACGUAUCCACCCCUCGUGCACUGUUUUCACAACCUCCCUAGGGAGCUUCGACAGGAGUUGGAAGGGAAUUUGAGCGUUUGAAUGGGAGAAGUCUUUAUUGACUCCUCAGCUCAAGUUCCCCCAUCAGCUGAGCAAUCAGCGUACAACUGGAGUCGACUCUUCUAGGCCACUAUUCUUCUUAUAAGAAUCUCUCUCCAUUCAAGAGAGGCCUUAUAAGAUGUUUAACACACCCCUUUCACCCCCUUUUUGCUAGUUGACUUUUUAUAUGUUGUUACACGUAGAUUCAUUUCUACUGUUUCACACGUUUAAUUACUUGAACGUUAAAAAAACAACUCUUAGCAAUGGAUAUCUUGGUUCUC
rnacentral:misc_RNA from 1 species